AAUCUCUCAGCUCUGCUCAGUUACACUUGUCUAUGUAGUGUGAUUGUCGUUACACGAGAGAGAAAGCAACUUGAGCUGCAUAUGCACGGCAGGCUGGCCUGGUGACGCGGUCUUCCUGUUCCUUAUUGAAGCUCUAUAGAU